AGGUCGUGGUGUGGGCAAUUUCUAAGUAGGCUUUUGUAUCGUUCCCAAGCUUCAUAAAGGGAUUCGCCGAGUUGUUGCUUGAAGUUGGCAAUGGUUUUCUUGAGCUU